rnacentral:rRNA from 1 species
GAUGAACGCUAGCGGCAGGCCUAACACAUGCAAGUCGAGGGGUAACAGGGAGCUUGCUCCGCUGACGACCGGCGCACGGGUGCGCACCGCGUAUGGAACCUGCCCCUUGCAGGGGAAUAGCCCAGGGAAACUUGGAUUAAUGCCCCGUAGUACCUUUAUACGGCAUCGUAUUGGGGUUAAAGGCUUCGGCCGGCAAGGGAUGGCCAUGCGUCCCAUUAGCUAGUUGGCGGGGUAACGCCCACCAAGGCUACGAUGGGUAGGGGCCCUGAGAGGGGGGAUCCCCCGACACUGGUACUGAGACACGGACCAGACUCCUACGGGUGGCAG